AUGAAAUGAGUUAUGGGUUGACCUUACCCAUUUAACCCAUUUAACCCAUUAAUCAUUUAACUUUAAACUCAUUUGAUUAUGAGUUGAGUUGAGUUGGGUUACCCAUUUUGACAUCCCUAACGAAGUAUAUGACGUCAUGUAGUUAACAUCAAAAGGAUAACAUCGCUGGACAAUGGGUCAUUAUUGAAAAAUUUUCUGUGUCUCAGACCAUGGGAGAAUUUAUGGCGAUGAAGCAAUAAUUACCGAAUAAAAAUCAUUUACUCCAU
rnacentral:sRNA from 1 species